rnacentral:rRNA from 1 species
AGUUGCAGGGUAUAGACCCGAAACCCGGUGAUCUAGCCAUGGGCAGGUUGAAGGUUGGGUAACACUAACUGGAGGACCGAACCGACUAAUGUUGAAAAAUUAGCGGAUGACUUGUGGCUGGGGGUGAAAGGCCAAUCAAACCGGGAGAUAGCUGGUUCUCCCCGAAAGCUAUUUAGGUAGCGCCUCGUGAAUUCAUCUCCGGGGGUAGAGCACUGUUUCGGCAAGGGGGUCAUCCCGACUUACCAACCCGAUGCAAACUGCGAAUACCGGAGAAUGUUAUCACGGGAGACACACGGCGGGUGCUAACGUCCGUCGUGAAGAGGGAAACAACCCAGACCGCCAGCUAAGGUCCCAAAGUCAUGGUUAAGUGGGAAACGAUGUGGGAAGGCCCAGACAGCCAGGAUGUUGGCUUAGAAGCAGCCAUCAUUUAAAGAAAGCGUAAUAGCUCACUGGUCGAGUCGGCCUGCGCGGAAGAUGUAACGGGGCUAAACCAUGCACCGAAGCUGCGGCAGCGACACUGUGUGU